UUAAUUUGUUGUAUUUGCGAACGUAAAAAUGUUGCUUUACAUUUACAACUCGUUUGCUGUACGUAUGGUUUGGCUAUAGAAGUGUUUACCUAAGGGAGCAGACAUUUCUCGGCACGAUGGUUAUGGAGUGAUGUGCUCACGUGCAGUCUGUCAUUUGCUGCACGACAUCUGUACUUUGUGUUUUGCGAGUGGUAUAUAUUUAUAUUUUUAAUGACUGCUCUUCAUCAUUUGCCACCAGUGCCUCUCCUUGUUCACCGUGACUACUGGACCCACCUUUGCCUCCUGGAGCUCAAUCCAUCCAAUGUGAGGAUGCUUAUGCAACAAUGCGAAUUCUGAUCCGAAUAGCUUUAUGAUCUAAAUGGGUGUGAAAUAAAAAAAAAAAUAAAGGCUA